rnacentral:rRNA from 1 species
AAAUUGAAGAGUUUGAUCAUGGCUCAGAUUGAACGCUGGCGGCAGGCCUAACACAUGCAAGUCGAACGGUAACAGGAAGCAGCUUGCUGCUUCGCUGACGAGUGGCGGACGGGUGAGUAAUGUCUGGGAAACUGCCUGAUGGAGGGGGAUAACUACUGGAAACGGUGGCUAAUACCGCAUAACGUCGCAAGACCAAAGAGGGGGACCUUCGGGCCUCUUGCCAUCAGAUGUGCCCAGAUGGGAUUAGCUGGUUGGUGAGGUAACGGCUCACCAAGGCGACGAUCCCUAGCUGGUCUGAGAGGAUGACCAGCCACACUGGAACUGAGACACGGUCCAGACUCCUACGGGAGGCAGCAGUGGGGAAUAUUGCACAAUGGGCGCAAGCCUGAUGCAGCCAUGCCGCGUGUAUGAAGAAGGCCUUCGGGUUGUAAAGUACUUUCAGCGGGGAGGAAGGUGUUGUGGUUAAUAACCGCAGCAAUUGACGUUACCCGCAGAAGAAGCACCGGCUAACUCCGUGCCAGCAGCCGCGGUAAUACGGAGGGUGCAAGCGUUAAUCGGAAUUACUGGGCGUAAAGCGCACGCAGGCGGUCUGUCAAGUCGGAUGUGAAAUCCCCGGGCUCAACCUGGGAACUGCAUUCGAAACUGGCAGGCUUGAGUCUUGUAGAGGGGGGUAGAAUUCCAGGUGUAGCGGUGAAAUGCGUAGAGAUCUGGAGGAAUACCGGUGGCGAAGGCGGCCCCCUGGACAAAGACUGACGCUCAGGUGCGAAAGCGUGGGGAGCAAACAGGAUUAGAUACCCUGGUAGUCCACGCCGUAAACGAUGUCUACUUGGAGGUUGUGCCCUUGAGGCGUGGCUUCCGGAGCUAACGCGUUAAGUAGACCGCCUGGGGAGUACGGCCGCAAGGUUAAAACUCAAAUGAAUUGACGGGGGCCCGCACAAGCGGUGGAGCAUGUGGUUUAAUUCGAUGCAACGCGAAGAACCUUACCUGGUCUUGACAUCCACRGAASUUUYCAGAGAUGMGAMUGUGCCUUCGGGAACYGUGAGACAGGUGCUGCAUGGCUGUCGUCAGCUCGUGUUGUGGUAGUCCGGAUUGGAGUCUGCAACUCGACUCCAUGAAGUCGGAAUCGCUAGUAAUCGUGGAUCAGAAUGCCACGGUGAAUACGUUCCCGGGCCUUGUACACACCGCCCGUCACACCAUGGGAGUGGGUUGCAAAAGAAGUAGGUAGCUUAACCUUCGGGAGGGCGCUUACCACUUUGUGAUUCAUGACUGGGGUGAAGUCGUAACAAGGUAACCGUAGGGGAACCUGCGGUUGGAUCACCUCCUUA